ACAGGGGUCACUCAGGGGUCAUUCAGGGGUCACUCAGGGGUCACUCAGGGGUCACUCAGGGGUCAUUCAGGGGUCACCAAGGUGUCCCCAAGGAACAAUGAGGGUGGCAUGGCUGACACAGGUGACACAGGAGGUGACACACAGGUGACACACAGGAGGUGGCACAGGUGACACACAGGAGGUGACACAGAGCUGACACAGCUGACACAGCUGACACACAGCUAACACAGGUGACACAGAAGGUGACACAGCUGACACAGCUGACCCAGGUGACACAGAGGAGGUGACACAGCUGACACAGGUGACACAGGAGGUGACACAGAGCUGACACAGCUAACACAGGUGACACACAGGAAGUGACACAGCUGACACAGAGCUGACACAGGUGACACAGCUGACACAGGUGACACACAGGAGGUGACACAGAUGACACAGCUGACACACAGCUGACACAGGAAGUGACACAGCUGACACAGCUGACACACAGCUGACACAGGUGACACAGCUGACACAGAGCUGACACAGAUGACACAGGAGGUGACACAGAGCUGACCCAGGUGACCCAGGUGACAGCCAGGUGACACUGACCGGCGUUGGGGCCCGCGGCGGGGCCGCCUUUGCCGCCCUCGGGCAGGGCCGGGCGCUUGGGGUCCAUCAGGAAAUUGUUGAAGAACAAAACCUCCUUGCGCACGGCGCCCAUCUUGUCCCCGUGCUUGUUAAAGAUGUGUUUGCGCACGAACUCGGGGCCCUGGGGACAGCAGGGACAGCAGGGGACAUCAGGGACAGCAGGGACAUUGGGGGAUCAGGGGACAUCAGGGGACAUUGGGGGACAUUGGGGACAUCGGGGUCACACAGCCCCAUCUUGUCCCCGUGCUUGUUAAAGAUGUGUUUGCGCACGAACUCGGGGCCCUGGGGACAGCAGGGACAGCAGGGGACAUUGGGGACAUUGGGGACAUCAGGGACAUUGGGGGAUCAGGGGACAUCAGGGGACAUUGGGGACAUUGGGGACAUCAGGGGACAUUGGGGACAUUGGGGGAUCCAGGGGACAUUGGGAUUGGGGGACUGACCCUCCACUGUCCUCCAGUGUCCCCAGGGUGUCCCCAAUGCCCCCACAGUGUCCCCAGUGAUCCCAGGGUGUCCCCAGGGUGUCCCCAGGUGUCCCCAGGGUGUCUCCAGGGUGUCCCCAAUGCCCCCAGGGUGUCCCCAAUGGUCCCAGG
rnacentral:lncRNA from 1 species